UACGGAGGGGGCUAGCGUUGUUCGGAAUUACUGGGCGUAAAGCGCGCGCAGGUGGUCUUUCAAGUCAGUGGUGAAAGCCCGGAGCUCAACUCCGGAAGUGCCAUUGAAACUGUAAGACUUGAGGAUGAGAGAGGUGAGUGGAAUUCCCAGUGUAGAGGUGAAAUUCGUAGAUAUUGGGAAGAACACCGGUGGCGAAGGCGGCUCACUGGCUCAUAUCUGACGCUCAGGCGCGAAAGCGUGGGGAUCAAACAGG
rnacentral:rRNA from 1 species